AUGAACGCUGGCGGCGUGCCUAACACAUGCAAGUCGAACGAAGCACUUUGAUUUGAUUCUUCGGAUGAAAAUCAUUGUGACUGAGUGGCGGACGGGUGAGUAACGCGUGGGUAACCUGCCUCAUACAGGGGGAUAACAGUUAGAAAUGACUGCUAAUACCGCAUAAGACCACGGAGUCGCAUGACUCAGUGGGAAAAACUCCGGUGGUAUGAGAUGGACCCGCGUCUGAUUAGGUAGUUGGUGGGGUAACGGCCUACCAAGCCGACGAUCAGUAGCCGACCUGAGAGGGUGACCGGCCACAUUGGGACUGAGACACGGCCCAAACUCCUACGGGAGGCAGCAGUGGGGAAUAUUGCACAAUGGGGGAAACCCUGAUGCAGCGACGCCGCGUGAGCGAAGAAGUAUUUCGGUAUGUAAAGUUCUAUCAGCAGGGAAGAAAAUGACGGUACCUGACUAAGAAGCACCGGCUAAAUACGUGCCAGCAGCCGCGGUAAUACGUAUGGUGCAAGCGUUAUCCGGAUUUACUGGGUGUAAAGGGAGCGUAGACGGCUGCGUAAGUCUGAAGUGAAAGCCCGGGGCUCAACCCCGGGACUGCUUUGGAAACUAUGCAGCUAGAGUGUCGGAGAGGCAAGUGGAAUUCCCAGUGUAGCGGUGAAAUGCGUAGAUAUUAGGAAGAACACCAGUGGCGAAGGCGGCUUUCUGGACUGAAACUGACGCUGAGGCUCGAAGCGUGGGAGCAAACAGGAUUA
rnacentral:rRNA from 1 species